GGGGUAUUGAUGUUGUUCUCAAUGAUGAAUCCAAGCGAGAAACUCCAGCUAUUGUCAGCUUUGGUGACAAGCAGCGCUUUAUUGGGACAGCUGGCGCAGCGUCAAUUAUGAUGAACAUCAAGAAUUCAAUCUCUCAGAUUAAGAGAUUGAUUGGGCGGAAAUUCUCUGAUCCUGGAUUGCAGAAGGAUCUUCAGUCAUUGCCAUUUUCUGUAACCGAGGGGCCUGAUGGCUUUCCUUUAGUUCACGUGCGUUACCUAGGUGAAGUAAAAACAUUUACACCAACCCAGGUGUUGGGGAUGCUAUUUUCGAAUCUGAAAGGCAUCGCUGAGACUAAUCUCAACGCAGCUGUGGUUGAUUGCUGCAUUGGAAUCCCAGUUUAUUUCACUGAUCUACAGAGAAGGGCUGUAUUGGAUGCAGCCACAAUUGCUGGAUUGCAUCCCCUUCGCUUGAUACAUGAAACUACUGCGACAGCCUUGGCUUAUGGUAUUUAUAAAACCGAUUUGCCUGAAAAUGACCAGUUGAACGUGGCAUUUGUUGAUAUUGGACAUGCAAGCAUGCAAGUGUGCAUUGCAGGCUUUAAGAAGGGGCAGUUGAAAGUCUUGGCCCAUUCAUCUGAUCCGUC
rnacentral:misc_RNA from 1 species